rnacentral:rRNA from 1 species
CCCAGACUCCUACGGGAGGCAGCAGUGGGGAAUAUUGGGCAAUGGGCGCAAGCCUGACCCAGCAACGCCGCGUGAAGGAAGAAGGUUUUCGGAUUGUAAACCUCUGUCCUUGGUGACGAUAAUGACGGUAGCCAAGGAGGAAGCCACGGCUAACUACGUGCCAGCAGCCGCGGUAAUACGUAGGGGGCAAGCGUUAUCCGGAUUUACUGGGUGUAAAGGGGGCGCAGACGGCAGCGCAAGCCAGGAGUGAAAGCCCGGGGCCCAACCCCGGGACUGCUCUUGGAACUGCGCGGCUGGAGUGCAGGAGGGGCAGGCGGAAUUCCUGGUGUAGCGGUGAAAUGCGUAGAUAUCAGGAGGAACACCGGUGGCGAAGGCGGCCUGCUGGACUGCGACUGACGUUGAGGCCCGAAAGCGUGGGGAGCAAACAGGAUUAGAUACCCCAGUAUG